rnacentral:rRNA from 1 species
UAUAGCUUGACACUGAACAUUGAGCCUUGAUGUGUAGGAUAGGUGGGAGGCUUUGAAGUGUGGACGCCAGUCUGCAUGGAGCCGGCCUUGAAAUACCACCCUUUAAUGUUUGAUGUUCUAACGUUGACCCGUGAUCCGGGUUGCGGACAGUGUCUGGUGGGUAGUUUGACUGGGGCGGUCUCCUCCUAAAGAGUAACGGAGGAGCACGAAGGUUGGCUAAUCCUGGUCGGACAUCAGGAGGUUAGUGCAAUGGCAUAAGCCAGCUUGACUGCGAGCGUGACGGCGCGAGCAGGUGCGAAAGCAGGUCAUAGUGAUCCGGUGGUUCUGAAUGGAAGGGCCAUCGCUCAACGGAUAAAAGGUACUCCGGGGAUAACAGGCUGAUACCGCCCAAGAGUUCAUAUCGACGGCGGUGUUUGGCACCUCGAUGUCGGCUCAUCACAUCCUGGGGCUGAAGUAGGUCCCAAGGGUAUGGCUGUUCGCCAUUUAAAGUGGUACGCGAGCUGGGUUUAGAACGUCGUGAGACAGUUCGGUCCCUAUCUGCCGUGGGCGCUGGAGAACUGAGGGGGGCUGCUCCUAGUACGAGAGGACCGGAGUGGACGCAUCACUGGUGUUCGGGUUGUCAUGCCAAUGGCACUGCCCGGUAGCUAAAUGCGGAAGAGAUAAGUGCUGAAAGCAUCUAAGCACGAAACUUGCCCCGAGAUGAGUUCUCCCUGACUCCUUGAGAGUCCUGAAGGAACGUUGAAGACGACGACGUUGAUAGGCCGGGUGUGUAAGCGCAGCGAUGCGUUGAGCUAACCGGUACUAAUGAACCGUGAGG